CCUACGGGAGGCAGCAGUGGGGAAUAUUGCACAAUGGGCGAAACCCUGAUGCAGCGACGCCGCGUGAGCGAUGAAGUAUUUCGUUAUGUAAAGCCCUAUCAGCCGGGAAGCAACUGCCGGUACCUUACUCCGAAGCCCCGGCUAAUUACGUGCCAUCAGCCGCGGUCAUACGUCGGGGUCCAGCGUUAUCAGGAUUUACGGGGGGAAAGGGGAGCGGAGACGGCUGUGCAAGUCUGAAGUGAAAGCCCAGGGCUCAACCCUGGGACGUCUUUGGCAACUGUGGAGCUAGAGGGCUGGAGAGGUAAGUGGAAUUCCUAGUGUAGCGGGGAAAUGCGUAGAUAUUAGGAGGAACACCAGUGGCGAAGGCGGCUUACUGGACAGUAACGGACGUUGAGGCUCGAAAGCGUGGGGAGCAAACAGGAUUAGAUACCCUGUAGUC
rnacentral:rRNA from 1 species